CACCAGACUCCUACGGGAGGCAGCAGUGAGGAAUAUUGGUCAAUGGUCGGGAGACUGAACCAGCCAAGCCGCGUGAGGGAUGAAGGUACAGAGUAUCGUAAACCUCUUUUGUCAGGGAACAAAGGCGGGGACGUGUCCCCGGAUGAGUGUACCUGAAGAAAAAGCAUCGGCUAACUCCGUGCCAGCAGCCGCGGUAAUACGGAGGAUGCGAGCGUUAUCCGGAUUUAUUGGGUUUAAAGGGUGCGCAGGCGGAGAGUAAAGACGGGGGUAAAAUUGCGGGGCACACCCCCGACAAGCCGUUGAAACUGGCUUGCUAGAGUGGGCGAGAAGUAUGCGGAAUGCGUGGUGUAGCGGUGAAAUGCAUAGAUAUCACGCAGAACUCCGAUUGCGAAGGCAGCAUACCGGCGCCCAACUGACGCUCAGGCACGAAAGCGUGGGUAUCGAACAGGAUUAGAUACCCUUGUA
rnacentral:rRNA from 1 species